rnacentral:rRNA from 1 species
GUUAUAUGGUCAAGUGACUAAGCGCAUACGGUGGAUGCCUUGGCAGUCAGAGGCGAUGAAGGACGUUGUAGCCUGCGAAAAGCUUCGGGGAGUCGGCAAACAGACUUUGAUCCGGAGAUGUCCGAAUGGGGAAACCCACCUGGUGUAAGCCAGGUACCUUGCACUGAAUACAUAGGUGUAAGGAGCGAACGAGGGGAACUGAAACAUCUAAGUACCCUUAGGAAAAGAAAUCAAUUGAGAUUCCCCCAGUAGCGGCGAGCGACCGGGGAACAGCCUGCAAGUGAUAGCGUGGAAGUUAGUGGAACGGUCUGGAAAGUCCGGCGAUAGAGGGUGAUAGCCCCGUACACGAAAGCUUCUAUGUGGUACUAAGCUUGCGACAAGUAGGUCGGGACACGAGUUAUCUUGACUGAACAUGGGGGGACCAUCCUCCAAGGCUAAAUACUACUGACUGACCGAUAGUGAACCAGUACCGUGAGGGAAAGGCGAAAAGAACCCCGGAGAGGGGAGUGAAAUAGAACCUGAAACCGUAUGCGUACAAGCAGUGGGAGCACCUUCGUGGUGUGACUGCGUACCUUUUGUAUAAUGGGUCAGCGACUUAUUGUCUGUAGCAAGCUUAACCGUAUAGGGGAGGCGUAGGGAAACCGAGUCUUAAUAGGGCGACAUAGUUGCAGGCAAUAGACCCGAAACCGGGCGAUCUAUCCAUGGCCAGGGUGAAGGUUAGGUAACACUGACUGGAGGCCCGAACCCACUUAUGUUGAAAAAUGAGGGGAUGAGCUGUGGAUCGGAGUGAAAGGCUAAUCAAGCCCGGAGAUAGCUGGUUCUCCUCGAAAUCUAUUUAGGUAGAGCGUCAUGUCUUACCCGCGGGGGUAGAGCACUGUUUCGGCUAGGGGGUCAUCCCGACUUACCAACCCGAUGCAAACUCCGAAUACCGCGGAGUACAAUCAUGGCAGACAGACUGCGGGUGCUAACGUCCGUUGUCGAGAGGGCAACAACCCAGACCGCCAGCUAAGGUCCCAAAUACCAGUUAAGUGGGAAACGAUGUGGGAAGGCUUAGACAGCUAGGAGGUUGGCUUAGAAGCAGCCAUCCUUUAAAGAAAGCGUAAUAGCUCACUAGUCGAGUCGGCCUGCGCGGAAGAUUUAACGGGGCUAAACUGGUAACCGAAGCUGCGGAUGCAUGCUUGCAUGCAUGGUAGAGGAGCGUUCUGUAAGCCGUUGAAGGUAAACCGGGAGGUUUGCUGGAGGUAUCAGAAGUGCGAAUGCUGACAUGAGUAACGAUAAGGGGGGUGAAAAACCUCCCCGCCGGAAGAUCAAGGUUUCCUGCGCAACGCUAAUCGGCGCAGGGUGAGUCGGCCCCUAAGGCGAGGCAGAAAUGCGUAGUCGAUGGGAAGCAGGUUAAUAUUCCUGCACUUUUUAUUAUUGCGAUGGAGGGACGGAGAAGGCUAAACCAUCAGGGCGUUGGUUGUCCCUGUUUAAGGUUGUAGGCUGGCUGCUUAGGUAAAUCCGGGCGGCUAAGGCCGAGAACUGAUGACGAGCUCAAUGCGAGAGCAGCGAGUGAAGUGGUUGAUGCCAUGCUUCCAAGAAAAGCUUCUAAGCUUCAGAUAAUAAGGAACCGUACUGUAAACCGACACAGGUGAUCAGGUAGAGAAUACCAAGGCGCUUGAGAGAACUCGGGUGAAGGAACUAGGCAAAAUGGUACCGUAACUUCGGGAGAAGGUACGCCGGCUUUGGUGAUGGGACUUGCUCCCUAAGCUGAGGCUGGUCGAAGUGACCAGGUGGCUGCGACUGUUUAUUAAAAACAUAGCACUCUGCAAACACGUAAGUGGACGUAUAGGGUGUGACGCCUGCCCGGUGCCGGAAGGUUAAUUGAUGGGGUUAUCUUCGGAGAAGCUCUUGAUCGAAGCCCCGGUAAACGGCGGCCGUAACUAUAACGGUCCUAAGGUAGCGAAAUUCCUUGUCGGGUAAGUUCCGACCUGCACGAAUGGCGUAACGAUGGCCACACUGUCUCCACCCGAGACUCAGUGAAAUUGAAAUUGCGGUUAAGAUGCCGUAUACCCGCGGCUAGACGGAAAGACCCCGUGAACCUUUACUACAGCUUCACAGUGGACUUUGACUUUACUUGUGUAGGAUAGCUGGGAGGCUUUGAAGCAGUGGCGCUAGCUAUUGUGGAGCCAACCUUGAAAUACCAGCCUGGUAACGUUGAGGUUCUAACUUAGGUCCGUAAUCCGGAUCGAGGACAUUGUGUGGUGGGUAGUUUGACUGGGGCGGUCUCCUCCCAAAGAGUAACGGAGGAGCACGAAGGUGCGCUAAUCAUGGUCGGAAAUCAUGAGGUUAGUGUAAAGGCACAAGCGCGCUUGACUGCGAGUCUGACAAGACGAGCAGGUACGAAAGUAGGUCUUAGUGAUCCGGUGGUUCUGUAUGGAAGGGCCAUCGCUCAACGGAUAAAAGGUACUCCGGGGAUAACAGGCUGAUACCGCCCAAGAGUUCACAUCGACGGCGGUGUUUGGCACCUCGAUGUCGGCUCAUCACAUCCUGGGGCUGAAGCCGGUCCCAAGGGUAUGGCUGUUCGCCAUUUAAAGUGGUACGCGAGCUGGGUUUAGAACGUCGUGAGACAGUUCGGUCCCUAUCUGCCGUGGGCGUUGGAGAAUUGAGGGAAGCUGCUCCUAGUACGAGAGGACCGGAGUGGACGAACCCCUGGUGUUCGGGUUGUGUCGCCAGACGCAUUGCCCGGUAGCUACGUUCGGACAGGAUAACCGCUGAAAGCAUCUAAGCGGGAAGCCCCUCCCAAGAUAAGUUCUCCCUGACCUCUUGAAGGUCCUGAAGGGCCGUGGAAGACUACCACGUUGAUAGGCUGGGUGUGGAAGCGUUGUGAGGCGUUGAGCUAACCAGUACUAAUUGCCCGUGAGGCUUGACCAUAUAAUCCA